rnacentral:lncRNA from 1 species
CCACGCUCAGGGUCCCAGCGGGGACUCCGCCCUGGGUCACAGCAGCCCUUCCCAGGCGGGGGCGUCUGGGCACUGGGGGGGGGCAUUGUUUUUCUUCCUCCGUGAACAUUGCCAGCCCAACUGAUAACACACUGCAAUCUAGUUCUCUGUGUGUAUGUGUGUGCAUAAAAAUAAAAAUAAAGUAAAAAUGAAAAUACAAGGAUCUCAUUAGUAAAACAGAAUUACAGUAAACUGAGCCUGAGUAACUCUUGACUAAGCAAAACCAACUACGAGAAGUGCCCCAAACACUGCGGAAGCCGGAGCCCUGCGUGACUGAAAGUGGAGCGUUUCUUCCAAAGGCUUCCUUUAGAGGAAAGCGAAACUGAGCCGGGCCCACCUCACCCGCCGGCCCGGGGAAGCGCUCAGCGAAGCCGCCUUCCCCAGACAGAUGCAGCUCCCAAGUCCAGCCGAUCGCCGGCUUCUUCAUCCUGCUUUCUCUCUUGCCCCAUGAACACCGGCCUGGACAAUUUUCGUGCGAGUAUCCCACCUCUGCUGGUGGGCUUCGCACAAUUCACACGUUGGCUUUACUCACAGGAGCUCCACGUUUCCUUUGCGCUGAAGGACUCACCGGCUGAUCUCUGAUAGCAGACAAAGCCCGAAGGGGACAGCAGACGCCCUCCCGCACAGCCGGCUGCGGCCUCAGGAUGAACGCAGUGAGUGCCUCAAGCCCUGCGGGAAAUCUGCCCCUGCCGACCGGCCCAGGGCUGCUGGAGGACCAAGCACCGGCUUUGGUUUUUCACGAACUGCUUGAAAACUCUCCUUUUACACCGGUGUCCACUGUGGUGGGCGGCGAUGGGGGCUUUGCAGAGCCCGGGUCUCGUUCCGUGUGCACAGCGCUGGGGACAGGCGGGGCUGGGGGUGCGGCUGGUUCCUCCAGAGUCUGAGCCCCAGGCCCUGCCCGCCGGGCGCACUUCCCAGCCGGGCGCCCCCACCCCGUCAGCGUCAGCGUCAGCGUCAGCGUCAGCGGAGCUUCUCCCCAGCGCAGACGCCUGCUCCCCCCCAUCUCAAAAGAAGCCUGUAGUGUACCUUUUCAGAUUCCUGGUGGGAGGCAUAGCUCUCGUCCUAGUUACCCUUUGGCAGGGGAGAAGAUCUGCUUCAGGAGCCCCAGCUAACACUGACCCCCAACAUGACCGUGCCAGACACCAGAGGCAUCCUGGCCACAGGCAAGGCCCCAACGGACCUCCCAAGGCCCAUAAGCAAAGCUAAGGGUUCUACGAGCAGCUUUCCCUGGAGCCACGCAGAGUCCUCCCCAUCCAGGUUCCAAACGGCUCUCCCACCGCUGGCUUCCUGGACCUCCACCUCAGCUCAGCCUGGGCAGUCCUGCUGCUCCUCUCCCGAAGAGAAGAUGGGGGCCCACAGAGACCGCCGGCGAGAUCCCCUGGUCCUGUGCUGUGUGUGGCUCCCACUCACCACCUUGUGCGCUUCCCUGCCCUUGAGUCCUGGAGACACAAAUACAUGCAGCUAAUCACCUCUUUUUAGUCACUCGUUCACUUGACAAUAGUGCAUCGAUACAUACUUAUGGAGCAUUUGUUUGACACAUUCGGUCUUCUACCAUGGCAGGACCUGGGGAACGCUGUAAACGUGACUUUGUCCUGGACCUCAAGGACCUUCCGGCCUCCCGAGAGCUUCAGCAGGUGUAUUCACCAGUUUUCCUCACUCUUACAAAACACCCAACGCAGGCCAUUCAUGCAGAAAGAGGUUUAUGCCACUCAGUUUGGGAGCUUCAAAGCCGUGGUACCUCCAUUGGCUGAUACAGUAUAAAAAGUUGAGUGAAAGUUUGGGUUGCAGUUAAGGGGAAGGGGAAGGAUAGGAGGGAAAAUAAAACAUGUUACUGCAUGCGUGAAUGUGAUGAAACAAACUCAUUAUUCUGUAUCAUUAAAAUGCACUUGUAAAUUUUUUAAUUUGUGGGUGGAGUUUGAGAGUCCAUGCUGCAAAUAUAAAGAACCGAGCCCUGGAAUCUGUGCGUUGUGCUUCUCAGUAAAGAUGAGGGGCUGUUUGGGCAGUGGUGAGUGGUGAUUUUGGUGAUCCAAACUGGGGACACAGGGCGGUGCCCCUGAGCCUCAGCGGGCAGCUGUUAAGCGUUUGCAGCACACUGCUGGACCCUGCGAUGUUCUGCAGCGUAGGGAACCACGGCAGCACGCACGGGCGCCUCCUGGAUCAUCCUGCUCACAGACACAGAAGGAAGCCUGGUGAUUUCGGGGCUUUCCUGGGGAGUCAAUGUGGAUGGGGCAGUUUCGGUCCAGGCAGGCAGUUGCACAGAUUUGAGGUGGGGAACUGUACACUUGAAAACGGUUGGGAUGGUAAGUUUUAGGUUGUCCUUGUUUCAUCACAAUGAAAUAAAAUAAACAAUUUACUAUUUUUUUUAAAAAAAAGCACACCCAGGUGUCUCAGGAGCAUCUCCAAGUUUUAAACCCCCAGUGCCCCUCUCCCAGUUCCUGCAGGAGGCCUCGGUCCCCAGUGCGAUGCUGAUUACGCCCUUGGCUCUGUAGUCUAGUCACACAUCCUGCACCUAAACAAAAGGGAGGCAUUCACAGGGUUGCUUGGCUCCAAGUCCAUCCGUCCUGGCAGGGCAGAGGC